CUAAUACUCCCUCCGUUCCAAAUUACUCGUCGCAGAAAUGGAUGUAUCUAGAACUAAAAUACAUCUAGAUACAUCCAUACUUGUGACAAGUAAUUCGGAACGAAGGGAGUAGAUG
rnacentral:pre_miRNA from 1 species